UCAAAACCAAAACAUGCAUAUUGAAGUGAAAUGAAGUUUCUGCACAAUUCUAGCAUGCAGAUGAUGAUCCACGCCCAGCUCUUAUCAUAACUAGUGGCUGGGGCCCGCCCCAGGCGGGCCUCCUUUGCGUCACUGUGCGCACUAAUCUUGUUGCUGCAUUUGUCAACGUGCGUAUGCAGUGCAAAUGAGUACCAACUUUAAAAAAUAUAAUACACGAAAUAAAACUACAGAAACAUAGUAUUCACUAAUAGGUGACAACCUUAGAAGGUGGAGGAAUGAUCACAGAGCACGACAAUCGGUUGAAAUUAAAGUCUAACAUCCUCCAAAAGACGGGCGACCUCCCAAAGAGAGGCAGAGUCGAUACACGGAUCAUAUGUAUAGGCCAUAGCUGUAGUUGACGGUGGUGCACCUAGAGACGAUGCACAGUGAGAGACGUGACACCUUGCCUUGCGCUUGAAGUGGAAGGCACAUAUGACACCUUCCUGGAUGUUUGUGUGGUUGUGAAACCAUGACCAGUUCAUCAUGAUGCUGGCCCACUUGUCGGUUCCAAGCAUGAAGCCACUGGCAUAACCCUCGGUUCCAUCUCCAAGCUUGACUGGGAGGGUAUCAUGCAUCAUCUUGGUGGAUGUAUUUCUUCAAGUUGUCAUGUGUACUGCACAUGAAAGUACUGUAAGGUAGAGAGAAAAGGAUUGAGGGCAUGGCAGAAGACAAUAUCAUGUCAUGAUGAGUAACUACAAUGAAAGAGGCCUAACAAUGUAGUGAUCGAAGGAUUGUGUUUACAAAUUUCUGACUGAAAACUCUUGAGCAAAGUGUACAACGGGCUGCACUCACCACAAGACUAACCAUAACUUCAUGGUUACAAGGCAUGCUUAGCAAGUAGUAACUUAUCAAGUUAUUAGUAUUUUUCUUCUGUGGUACUUAGAGUCUAAAGCUUGAGCAAACACAUUUGAUCUACACAGGAAAAUGAUGGAAGCUUAGGCUGCAUUUGUUUAGAGCUUCAAGAAAUGCAAGAUUCUGUUGUUUUCUGCCAGGAGAAAAUUAGAUAAUAGAUAAAUCUUGGAGGUGUGCAGUUUAUUACCUCGACAACAUAGCACACAGAGGCACGACAUUUCAACACCUCAGGCAAUCAGCGUGAUUACCUAACAAGAUGAAAAGGCUCAGAAUGAAUUUCAGGACAACACUGGUCCUGACAAAUUAAGUAAAAUCUAUGCAUGGAGGGUGAAAGGAAAAUAUAAUCAGAGGGUGAAAAGAACAAUAUAAUCAGACAAUUGCUCGUAACUCAAAUAUAAGACCUAGAUGGAUAUAUUCUGUCCAGAAUACUGCUUGUUAAAGAAGAAUACGUACACAUGAAAUAAAAUCUAGUGUACGAGCAAGCACGGAAUCAAUCUAUAUGCAAUAUGAGUAACCUGAAAAAUAAGAUAGAUACAAACACUUGUUCUGACUAAUGUAACUGAAUAAGCUAUGCAACUAUAUGAGUAACCUGUAAAAUAGAAUAUGUCCUCAAAUAUUUCAGACCAACUUUCUUAUAUGUAUAGAAAGUUCAUAGGGAAACAUUUUAACCAAAUAUAUUUAGGGUCAGUAGGCAUCCAUACAUUAAUAGACAUAACGAACAAACAUUUAUGUAGGUGUGGUUAUAUCAACCUUCCACGUAAUUCAUGACAAAAGCAUAUAAUCUAUUUAUCUACAUUCGAUGACAGAAGUAAGAAACAAAUGGAAAGGAAAGACAAUCUGCAUGGUGUCUCCAUCAUGAAUCUCAUUGUCACCCGAAGAUUGCUCUUUCUUUAUUUUAGACCAGUUUAUAGUACAUCCACUCCCCACAGCAUACUUCGGGCCUGUUCUGAAUCUCUCCCACUCCAGAUUUCACAAACUGUCAGCUCGGAGCAGCCCCGAACGCUUUACCGCCAGGAAGCUAACUUCACGAAGCAAAGAUGGGCCUAGUGCAAUUUUAAGAAGCAAGGGAAACCGAGCUCUGCGUUUAGAGGAAUCUGGAGUUCGGCUUAUUUACGGCGAUACUGCCACCGCCUAAGAAAACGAUUCGAUAUGUUCUGUUUCUCGCUCGUACAGUAGGCGCACCAACCCCUCGCACCCCUCUCCCUCGUGUUCUCCCACGUGCUAAUGGGCUGCUUUCAGCUGGCCCAAAGUGGCAAGGAACAGGCCUGCAGCCCCCCAGCUGGGCUGCCAACUCAACAUGGCGCUGGGAGAAGCAACCGCUGCCGAACGCAUUCCAAUCGACAGGUGAAGUGAGAAGCCACGCCCAGAAGCUGGAUUUGAGAAGUUUGGAGAAUCUGGAGGAGAUCAGAACACGCCCUUCAUUUUCAAAUUGGAGAAAACAGUAUGGUGCUCUUGGGCUCUUAAAUCUUAAGAAAAUCUACCAAGAUAUUUACCCAUCCAAUAGAAUUUUUGACGGAAAAUAUGCAUUCUUAUGCAAAUUCAUUAUCAUGGCAUGGAUCACUUAAGCAAAAAGCAUAAAUGUGGCUAAAUUAUUUUCGACGCUGAAAGCAUAUGCAAACUGAAAUAGUUUGCAGCUUCUCGAUCAAUCAAUUCUUCUUUUGAAAUAAAAUGUGUGCCAUAUAUCUGAAGGGACAAAUACAUAGAUUUAGCUUGACAGUUAAAGCUAAGGCACCAUUUCUGGGUGUUGCAAUGAAAAGCUCGGUCAGAUACACCAGGUUGAGAAGUUAGACAAUGCAUACAAAGUAGGACGAUGAGCAUGUUGCCACUUACCCAAGACAUGAAUUUCUUGAGCAUGUCUUGCUUUUGCAUUUCAUCACUUGUUGGCAGACCCAUCUAGUUCUGACGUUGGUCAAGCUCUGACAAGAAAAAAAAGUGAGCUAGCUAUCGUUUAAGGGCUGAAGAAAUUGUAAGACGUGUAGUCCAACAACAAGGUUGUGAACAAAGCUUAUCAUCAUCAUCUUCUCCACAGUUUAUCUAGUCUCAGGAUCCAGAUCAGAAAGUUUGCUAAUGCAUCUUCUAAUUACCCGGUACCCUUUGUUCUGACAAACUGAAGACUGUCAAACAAUUCCAUCUCCAACACACCAAACCAAAUCAGAGAAUGGAUGGGCAACAGAGCCGAACCUCCAAACGCCCACUUUUGGAAGGUUUCGCUAGUGUCCAGGAACUUUGGGGUGCACGCAGGCAUGGUCCAAGUUCCCUGUCUCCACUCUCCAGCGCAUCUGAGACUGGGCCAAAAAAAAUGUCCAGCUCAUGCAAACAGAGUGUUGGAUGAUGGACCCCAACGGUAGCAUUAAGGACUUCGCCUGUCGAGUACAUUCCCAUCUAGUGUUCAACAAACCUACGGUGACGUGGAUAUCAAGUACUCCCUCCGUUCUAAAAUAGAUGACUCAACUUUGUAAUGAAGUUAGUACAAAGUUGAGUCGUCUAUUUUGGAACGGAGGGAGUAAAAGGGUAAAAUUAGGAUGUUGGAAAUCCACUAAGAUCCACGUCGUGGUGCAAAGGAAUUAUUGAAUGAUUAUACAUGCCUUUAUGAUCAAGAUCCCAACAGCAAAGUGUCCAUAAAUGACAAGACAUGGUGAUAAAAUAAUUCUGUCUUCUGUAAAUGCACCCUUCAAAAUUCAGAAUACAAGCGUGCAAAAACAGUUUGUUAGUUUGUGCAGAAGACAAACCUUCUCUCUUUCCUCAGGUGAUGGGUGUACAUUAUGAGUGCGUCGGCUUCUUGCACUAUAUCUGCUUCUACUACCUCUAUGGCAAAAUCAAGGUCAUAAACCUGAAAAGAGCAUGAGAAUAUCUUAGUAACUGGAGCACUGAAAAUACUCUGAGCUAAGAGAAUAAAUAUCUGAAAAAUGUAACAAACAGACACAUACAUGAUAUCCAUCAGACCAUGAAUUCAAGUGAGAGGAUAGCAAUUUCUAUGAGGCAAGGCAAUACAGUGUGGCAAAUAUUAAAUCAAUCCGGGUGGCGGUGAGAUGUGCUAGAAGACAGGGUUCAUUCAGGUUCAGCGGAGACAGAAGACAUACCUCAGGGAUUUGGACCUGCCAUGAGGAUGUUGGGACUGUGAGCAGAAGCAUAGAAGACGGUGCUCCAACUGCAGGAUAAGCGUUCCUUCCUCUUGUCUUAAUCCAUCCCCACUUUUCCAUCCCUCUCUCUCAAACAUAAAUGUCCUCCCCUGAGCAUUUAUACAAUUUAAUUUGAGCAUGAAAAACAAGGGGAUACCGGGUGCAGAACCUCUGUACUAUGUUGCGGCGCUGCGGAAAUCGAC
rnacentral:lncRNA from 1 species